rnacentral:rRNA from 1 species
UACGUAGGGGGCGAGCGUUGUCCGGAUUUAUUGGGCGUAAAGAGCUCGUAGGCGGUUUGGUAAGUUGGAUGUGAAAUCUCCAGGCUCAACUUGGAGGGGUCAUUCGAUACUGCCAUGACUAGAGUUCGGUAGGGGAGUGUGGAAUUCCUGGUGGAGCGGUGAAAUGCGCAGAUAUCAGGAGGAACACCGGUGGCGAAGGCGGGUCUCUGGGCCGAUAUUGACGCUGAGGAGCGAAAGCGUGGGGAGCGAACAGG